rnacentral:rRNA from 1 species
UACGGAGGGUCCAAGCGUUAUCCGGAAUCAUUGGGCGUAAAGAGCUCGUAGGCGGUGUGUCGCGUCGGCCGUGAAAACCUGCAGCUUAACUGUGGGCUUGCGGUCGAUACGGGCAUCACUGGAGUUCGGCAGGGGAGACUGGAAUUCCUGGUGUAGCGGUGAAAUGCGCAGAUAUCAGGAGGAACACCGGUGGCGAAGGCGGGUCUCUGGGCCGAUACUGACGCUGAGGAGCGAAAGCGUGGGGAGCGAACAGG